rnacentral:rRNA from 1 species
UACGAAGGGGGCUAGCGUUGCUCGGAAUCACUGGGCGUAAAGCGCACGUAGGCGGGUCUUUAAGUCAGGGGUGAAAUCCCGGAGCUCAACUCCAGAACUGCCUUUGAUACUGAGGAUCUCGAGUCCGGGAGAGGUGAGUGGAACUCCGAGUGUAGAGGUGAAAUUCGUAGAUAUUCGGAAGAACACCAGUGGCGAAGGCGGCUCACUGGCCCGGUACUGACGCUGAUGUGCGAAAGCGUGGGGAGCAAACAGG